AACGAACGCUGGCGGCAGGCUUAACACAUGCAAGUCGAACGGGCACCUUCGGGUGUCAGUGGCAGACGGGUGAGUAACGCGUGGGAACGUACCCUUCGGUUCGGAAUAACCCAGGGAAACUUGGGCUAACACCGGAUACGUCCGCAAGGAGAAAGAUUUAUCGCCGAAGGAUCGGCCCGCGUCGGAUUAGCUAGUUGGUGGGGUAAUGGCCCACCAAGGCGACGAUCCGUAGCUGGUCUGAGAGGAUGANCAGCCACACUGGGACUGAGACACGGCCCAGACUCCUACGGGAGGCAGCAGUGGGGAAUAUUGGACAAUGGGCGAAAGCCUGAUCCAGCCAUGCCGCGUGAGUGAAGAAGGCCUUAGGGUUGUAAAGCUCUUUCAGCGGGAAGAUAAUGACGGUACCCGCAGAAGAAGUCCCGGCUAACUUCGUGCCA
rnacentral:rRNA from 1 species